GUGUCAGCAGCCGCGGUAAGACAAACCGUGCAAACGUUGUUCGGAAUCACUGGGCUUAAAGGGCGCGUAGGCGGGCAGCCAAGUCAGGGGUGAAAUCUUUCGGCUUAACCGGAAAACAGCUUUUGAUACUGGCUGUCUGGAGGGAGGUAGGGGCACGUGGAACUUCCGGUGGAGCGGUGAAAUGCGUUGAUAUCGGAAGGAACGCCGGUGGCGAAAGCGACGUGCUGGACCUUUUCUGACGCUGAGGCGCGAAAGCCAGGGGAGCAAACGGGAUUAGAUACCCUGGUAGUCC
rnacentral:rRNA from 1 species